rnacentral:rRNA from 1 species
UGGAUUAGUGGCGAACGGGUGAGUAACACGUGAGUAACCUGCCCUUAACUCUGGGAUAAGCCUGGGAAACUGGGUCUAAUACCGGAUAUGACUCCUCAUCGCAUGGUGGGGGGUGGAAAGCUUUUUUGUGGUUUUGGAUGGACUCGCGGCCUAUCAGCUUGUUGGUGAGGUAAUGGCUCACCAAGGCGACGACGGGUAGCCGGCCUGAGAGGGUGACCGGCCACACUGGGACUGAGACACGGCCCAGACUCC